GAGUGCUACUAUAAGUCUGACGGGAGAUCAACCAGACAUAGAAGAUGGAGAGUAUAUUGAUGGAUUGACCACAGUGACAUUUACUACAGCAGAGCCUAGCCUGACCUGUUUACCUAACCCAAGUGUUCAUGCCUAUGUGUCCGCUGGCUGCCCACCAGAGAAAACCAUCCGAGCAAG